AAAUGUAUAGCCCAGUUGGUUAGAGCACUGCACCGGAAUCGAUGCAGGGCCGCAGUUUCGAUUCCUGCCUGCAGGGA